rnacentral:lncRNA from 1 species
UUCGGAUGACUUGGGUUUUAUGAAAUAAAAUGGGGUUUACGUUUGGGUGAUUUCAAGAGUUUUGUAGUAGAUCUACAAAUAAAAUUUUGUGGAUUUAUGGUUAUAGUUGUGUUUAAUAUGUAUUGUGAAUUUGAGCUUGAUCUAACAAAUGAGUUGAGGGAUAUUGAGGUUUAAGUAGGUCAAGGUCUCAGAAAGUAGAAUUUUAGGUCUAGUGGGGAUUUUUGAGAUUUCUUGCAAUAAAUUGAUUGGAUUAGAGUGAAACUUAUGUAAGAGAAUAUUAGACUUAUUUUUCUAUAUGUAUGAGAAUUUUGAGAUUAAUAAAACAUUGAAAAGGAGAGAUAUUAGCUCUCGAAGAUUGGCAUCAAGAUUGGAGAAGGAGGCCGGCCAAUACCCAAACACAUUUUUGAGGUUAUCGUCAAUUUGAUAAAUCCGAUCCUUAUCAAUUUUUUUGUGCUUGUUUUUAACUUAUUUUUUUAGAAGUGUGCAAAUUUUGAAUUAAGAUCAACGAUUUAUUCAUUAGUUUUUGAGGUUUAAAUCUAUUAUAGGAAUUAUUAGGAUUUGGUUUAGGAUUUGGUUAGGGUUUGGUUUGGGGUUUAGGGUUUGGAUUAGGAUUUGAUUUAGGAUUUAGGAUUUGGAUUAGGAUUUGGUUUAGGAUUUAGGAUUUGGAUUAGGGUUUGAUUAGGGUUUGAUUUAGGGUUUGGUUAGGAUUUUAUUUAAGGUUUGUUUAGGAUUUGAUUUAGGAUUUAGGAUUUUAUUAAGAUUUAAGAUUAAAUUAGUUUUGGCCUAAAGUUUGAAUGAAGUUCAAUAGGAUUUUAACUAGAAUUAAAUUAAGAUUGAAUUGAGAUGUAUUUGAAUGAUAUUUGUGUUCUUUCUAAUAUUUUUUUUAGAAUUCUUAUUGUUUGUUUGAAAUUUCUUUGAGGUUUUUUUGAAUUUGAUUAAGCUUGCUUAGCAUUAUUAUAGUCUAAUUAGAGCAUUGUUAGUAUUCUAUUAGAAUUAAGAUUUUGUUAUUGUAAUUUCUAUUUUUUCUUCUAUAGCCAAGUGCUCGGAGCAUUUUCAAACAAGACUUCACAUAUUACGACAAUAUAUUUGCAUAGGUGGUAAUAGGGAUCUAAAAUUAAUUAAUGCCAUUGAAUUAAUGUUUUUCACUUC